CUGUAGUACUUUCCAGUUCUUGUCCUGUUAUAUGGAAAGCUGCAUCACCAAUCCUACAGUCUACAGAGGUUUUCUAUUGUUGUCUGCCCUGCCUGCCAGCCUGUGUAAGUAUGUAUCAAGAAUCUUGCUUUCUAAACACUCUGAUUGGCCCUUGUGAUGUGAGCAACUCACAGUGGUCUAUGCCUUUGCAUUUUAUAUUCACAUGCUCACGCAAGCUUAGUCAGCAUGAUUUGAUGGCACACUUGCCAGAUGCAAAUUUCAUAUGCAUCCUUAUAUCAGUUUCUUUGUGCUGUUUUUUAUCGACAUUAAUUUGACACUCAUGUUACUGGAAAGGUAACGAACCUGGUAUAUUAUUGCCAUGUUACUGCAUUAGGUUAUUUCCGAGUGAAAUCAAAAGUAGAUUCAACAUAUCUGAAAGACUCUAUCUGAAAUUAUAAUUGAACUAAGUGCACAUGUAUCCUAAGUGGUUCAUAUGUCCAAAUUUAGCAUUGUAAGCAUCUAGAAUGAUCUAGAUCCACAUUUGAGAUAUUUGUGUUACCUGUGGGUUCAGUGAAUUUGAUAUGCUAGCUGGUGCAUUUUUCUUGAUAAUCCACUAUGUUAUUUACUAGAUAUUCCUUUACCAAGGUUUCUCGUGGCACAACGGCAGAGCGAUGAACUCUGGGGACCAAUCAAACCCCUGUAACCAGUCCGGCUUCGAAGCUGAGGUACUCUUCUUUAAGACGAAAUCGAAGGUAUGUCUAUCCCUCCGGUCAAGUUUUUACUGGCAAUUCCUUUCAUGAUUAAGUCUGUUUCCUUACUGUCCUUUCAAGAAAAGCUGUUCUAUUGGAACAACUAAACAAAAUAUAUUUUAAAUGUUUGAUAAUUUUGCUUCCUUUCAGACAGCAUCUUCAUGUUUAUGUAUCAAAUUUCUAUUGGAAGUUAAAUCAAGGACACAAGUUCACAUAUUUAUUUGUUUCUAAUUCAAUAUAAUUAAGUUCAAUAGGCAUCUGAAUGAAUUGAUUUUAUUACUUGGUUUGUGAUUGAAUCAAAGCAAUAUUUUCUCUUUUUUUCCUUUUGAUGAAAAUACAGCUUCUGAAAUACUACCAAAGAAGCACUGAAGCGAGCAAGUUUACAGCAGCUGCAACCCCACUCACCACAUCAUUUUCGGUGGAAAGCUUCAUUUGUUUGGAAGAAACCAAUCGUAAGGCUUCUUAUUCCUUGAUAGUUUUGGGCAGUUUCUUAUUUUUUCAUCUAUGGGUGCUGUUGUUGCUGUACUUUUGAUAGCAACUUGUUAGUAUGCCUGAUCCAAAUUUAUCUUAGCCACCUUGACAAAAAGAUGUCAAUAAUAGUUAAUAGGUAGUUAGAAUAUACCCGUAGAUAUUAAAGAGGAAAAAACCCUGAAGAAUAAACCACCUCAAAACAUAUUUUAUUUGGUAUACUAAUAACAAUCAUUGUAGCUAAAAUGUGAAGAUACGAAUGAAUUUAUUCAGUAGACGUGUCAUCUUGCGGCUCUGAUGAGGAGCUUGGCGUUGUGGUGCUCUGUGCUUGCAUGAGGCGCUCGAGUUUGGUACUGAGCUCGGCCUUCUCUUUCUCGAG
rnacentral:lncRNA from 1 species